UUUAUGACACUAUACUAUUGAAAGUAAAAAUAAAAUCCUAUUUCUGGCCAUAGACCUUUGUAUACCAGCAAUCAUAAAAAUAUCAUAUGGUAUUUUUAUAAUUAUUGAAAGCAAGAUUUGAACCUGUGUGACAGAGGUUUGAACUCAAAGUAAAGUGACAGGCUGAAGUGCUGCUGAAUCUUCUCACCUCAGUGGGGGAGGGGCCCCAGGAGGUCUGGAAUUUGGAGAAGCCAGAAGGUUCUGACUGAGAGGCAGUUAUCUCUCUCAAUCUUUAGAAGCCUAGGAGGAAGGGAGGUCUGGUCAAAACUUUCUCCUGAGGAGAUAUUCACCUUUUUCCUCUCCUGGAGACAGGACAUCCUCCCCCUCCACCAAUUCCCAACUGAAGUGAUAGCUGAAGAAGACAUUGAGCCUCUGUUAAACUUACCUCACAGCUCCUGGUGCCUUGGAUCUGAACUGUGCCAGUUGGGUCAAGACCAGGGCAAGUGCCUAUUGAAGCUACUACAUCUUCUUCAAAUCAGAAGUUUCCUGAAUCUCCUAUAGCCAUCUUUUCUAAAAUCACAUGCAGAACCUUCCCCCAAAAAGAUACAAGUUCUGUGAGGUCAGGAACUAUUUCAUUUUUCUCCUUGUAUCAAAUAGUGCCUAGCAUAAUGUCUGGCAAAUUGGAUGUGUUUAAUAUACUUUGCUGAUUAAUUUAUAUGCUGAUUUAAAUAUUCUAUACAAUAGUUUAUUUGUUCAGUAGACAUUAGACAGGACAAAAGUAAUUAUUCAUCUACUUGUUUUUUUCUUGUCAGUAUAAUUAGGCCAGAAUCUUCUGUGUUAUUGGGAUCUCAGAAGGCUCUAGAAUUAGCUUGCUUAUCGAAUUGACUUGAAUGUAUCAUAAAAUCAUUGCAAAGUGGAGUAGCUAGAAUACUUCAUGACUUAUUUUGCUAUCAUUCAGUUGUGUGUGACUCUUUGUGACCCUCAUUUGGGUUUUUGUUGGCAAAAGUACUGGUGAAUUUUGUAAUUUCCUUUUCCAGUUUAACAUAUGAGGAACUGAAGCAAAUGGGGUUAAUUGACUUGCUUAAGGUAGUAGUAGUAGUAGUAGUAGUAAAUAACAGAGCUAGUAAGUGCCCAAGACCAGAUUUGAAUUCAGGUAUCCUUGACUCCAGGCCCAGGGCAUAAUCUACUAAACCAUCUAGUGGUAAAAAAUAUUAAUUCAUGUUUGACUCUUCAUGACCUCAAGGACCAUACUGUUCACGGUUUUUAUAUGUUUAUUUGCUUUUGUUAAACAUACCAGACUGCAUUUUCAUUUCCUUCUUCAGUAAAUUAAGGCAAAUAGAGAUUAAGUGAUUUGCACAGAGCCACCUAGCUAGUAAGAAUAUGAGGCUGGUUAUGAAUUCAGGUUUUGCUGACUGCAGGCCUAGCAUUCUUAUGUACUGAGUCACAUAGCUAUACCUUCAU
rnacentral:lncRNA from 1 species